GACUCCGUGGCGCAACGGUAGCGUGUCUGACUCAAGAUUAGAAUGUCGCGUAUUCAAAUCACGUCGGGGUUA
rnacentral:tRNA from 1 species